rnacentral:rRNA from 1 species
CCAAUCUAGAGUNUCGGAGAGGAAAGUGGAAUUCCUAGUGUAGCGGUGAAAUGCGUAGAUAUUAGGAAGAACACCAGUGGCGAAGGCGACUUUCUGGACGAAAACUGACGCUGAGGCGCGAAAGCCAGGGGAGCGAACNGGAUUAGAUACCCCGGUAGUCCUGGUCGUAAACGAUGGGUACUAGGUGUAGGAGGUAUCGACCCCUUCUGUGCCGGAGUUAACGCAAUAAGUACCCCGCCUGGGGAGUACGACCGCAAGGUUGAAACUCAAAGGAAUUGACGGGGGCCCGCACAAGCGGUGGAGUAUGUGGUUUAAUUCGACGCAACGCGAAGAACCUUACCAGGUCUUGACAUUGAUGGACAGAACCAGAGAUGGUUCCUCUUCUUCGGAAGCCAGAAAACAGGUGGUGCACGGUUGUCGUCAGCUCGUGUCGUGAGAUGUUGGGUUAAGUCCCGCAACGAGCGCAACCCCUAUCUUAUGUUGCCAGCACUUUGGGUGGGGACUCAUGAGAGACUGCCGCAGACAAUGCGGAGGAAGGCGGGGAUGACGUCAAAUCAUCAUGCCCCUUAUGACCUGGGCUACACACGUACUACAAUGGGAGUUAAUAGACGGAAGCGAGAUCGCGAGAUGGAGCAAACCCGAGAAACACUCUCUCAGUUCGGAUCGUAGGCUGCAACUCGCCUACGUGAAGUCGGAAUCGCUAGUAAUCGCAGGUCAGCAUACUGCGGUGAAUACGUUCCCGGGCCUUGUACACACCGCCCGUCACACCACGAAAGUCGGAAGUGCCCAAAGCCGGUGGG